CACAGCAUCACCAGCAUCUGCCCAGCUGCUGCCCUGGGUGUCACGGGGUGCUCCAGAUGUGCAGCGAGCAAAACCAAGGACUUCAGUUCUGCAGGACACUGCAAGCUUCCUGACCCUGCCCUGAAAAUCAUCUCGAGAAGCAGGUGUGAUGUGUCUGACUGUGCAGAGAAAGCAGUUUCCUUACUUUCCCUGUUACGUGGCUGAAUGGAGGCAGUGAGAAGCCUGGUGGAUUGAUGAGCUCCUGAGCCAAAGACAUCCCAGGUCUGAGCAAGGCAAGAGCUCCAUCCCUGUUGCGUCAGGCCGAAUGGAAGCCAACACUUGCCAUGAAGUAAGAAAAUUUGUUUCAUGCCAUGGAAUGUUGAUACUAAAUGGAAGGAGGGGAAGAAAAGAGCACACAUCUGCAUGUUGGAAAAGGAGCGGUUAGCUACCUUCUUGCAUGUGCUGGCUCUCUUUGAACACCUCCAUCGCCACCUAAGAGACAAUGUGGAGAGGUGCUUUGUCCACUGCAAUCUGUUCCUGCAUGGGAUGACACUUGGAUGACUGGAGCAUGCUGGAGCCAGGUGAAUGAUGCACAGGGCUUCCCAGGCUUGGAGCUGUUGCCAGCUGUUGGGCUGCUGCUCUUGGAUUCACAGAAUCAUAAUCACAGAAACACAGAAUGGCCAGGGUUGGAAGGGACCUCAAGGAUCAUGAAUCUCCAACCCCCUGCCACAUGCGGGGCCACCAAUCUCCCCAUCUCAUACCAGACCAGGCUGCCCAGGAUUCCUGUACCUGCACCUGCCUGGUUGCUCCUGAGCAGAGAUGUGCCUUGCUCAGGGAGCAGGUGAUGUCAGCUCAAGGCAAAGUACAACAGGGUGGAAACAACAAAAAAUGAGCUGAGAGAAUGUUGUACUCGCACAGGCAGAUCUCUUAACACUCCAGAAUUAGUGACAGGCUGAGACCUAUGCUGUGCAGGAAGGAUGCAGGAAGAGGCCAUCUGUGGAAGCAGUGGGACACUUGUCAUCCCAGCGAGGCAGCAAGACAGAAUCUUCUUCCAGCAAAAGCCAGCAAACAGACGGAGCUUGCUUCCAUCUGCCAACCUCAGUCUGAAUCAAGCAGAAAGAGACAGAAAUCCCAUAGGACAUCUCAUCUUCCUAGAAGCCAACAUAGAGAAAGCAAGCCUCAGUCCUGAGCAGAAGAUAAGGAGCAGAAUGACCUUGCAUCUUCCAUCCAUACACCUGAGGUUAACAGUCAAGGAACCUGAGGCCAGGAAGUCCUCAUUUGCACCCAUGUCUGCACGUAUGGUUUGCCACCGAGUCCCUCUGAAGGCUGAGCUGUGUGAAGAGGAGAGCAGGGCUGGUGCUGAGCUGCACACACACAAUCACAGAAGCACUGAGGUUGGAGAAGACCUCCAGCAUGCCCAUUAACCACGUCCCUCUGUGCCACAUCUCCACAGUUCUUAAACACCUCCAGGGGCAGCUGGGAGCUUUGGGGAUCCGUGGGACCUGGAGCAAGCAGUCCUCAGCUCCUCUCCAGUCAGCACAUGCCAACAUGCAGUGCUCUGCUCUUUCUUCUCCAGGUUCCCUGAGUGCUUGAUAAAUGUAAGCAUCAAGCAGGAGGACUGCUAGGGGGCAGGGCUACGUCCUAAACCAGUUCUAAAUGGAGAACUUCACACCACGAUGACUCCAACCAGUUGGCUGCUGGGCAGAAGGUACAAAUGGGAACCUCGAACCCAAAGCCCGUACAAAGGAACACUUGCAGCCAGUUAUUGCAGGGGUGGCUGUGACACGUGUGACUGCUGCGGUGUCUCUGUUUAUUUACUCCCUCCCUGUAACCCCUGCCUGCCCAGCCGUGCGUCUCUUUGGGCUGCUGUCAAUCACACGUCAGUUCUUGUUUGCCUCGGCUCAAAUCAGUGCUGCUGUUUUGACAAAAGCAUGGCUGUCAAAGCUCCCAAGGCGAGAGAGAAAGGCAGAGAGCCAAGAGGUGGAGGGAGGAGUGGGGUAUUUGUUAUCCCUGGGGAUGACGCAUCCUUGUGCAGAUGUGAUGAGCGGAGCUGUGAGCUUGGCAGUUGCCUUGCUUGUGCUGCUUUAGAAUGAUAGAAUCAUUUGGGUUGGAAGGGAGCCUUAAAGGCUAUCUGGUCCAACUCUCCUGCAGUGAGCAGGGACACCCACAUCUCCAUUAAGUGCUCAGAGCUCCUCCAGCCUGACCUUGGGUGCCUUCACCACCUCUGGGCAACCUGUGCCAGUGCCUCACCGCCCUCAUUGAGACAACUUCCUCCUUAUAUCCUGUCUAAAUCUGCCCUCCUUUAGUUUAAGCCAUUUCACACAGAGGGUGGUGAACAGGUUGCCAAUGAGGCUGUGGAUGCCCCAUCCCUGCAGGCAUUCAAGGCCAGGCUGGAUGUGGCUCUGGGCAGCCUGGUCUGCUGGU
ensembl:lncRNA